rnacentral:rRNA from 1 species
AUAAGGCAUGCAAGUCUAACGGGUGUAGCAAUACAUCAGUGGCAAACGGGUUAGUAAUACAUAGGAAUCUGCCCUGAAGUCGUGAAUAACUCCGAGAAAUCGGAGCUAAUACACGAUAUGUUCUAAGGAAUAAAGGAGCAAUUCGCUUCAGGAGGAGCCUGUGUCCUAUCAGCUUGUUGGUAGUGUAAAGGACUACCAAGGCUAUGACGGGUAGGGGGUGUGAGAGCACGGCCCCCAACAUUGGGACUGAGACACUGCCCAAACUCC